UUCCGGUUGAUCCUGCCGGAGGCCAUUGCUAUUGGGAUUCGAUUUAGCCAUGCUAGUCGCACGAGUUCAGACUCGUGGCGAAUAGCUCAGUAACACGUGGCCAAACUACCCUUCGGAACACGAUACCCUCGGGAAACUGAGGCUAAUAGUGUAUACCACAGUCCACCUGGAAUGAGGACUGUGUCAAACGCUCCGGCGCCGAAGGAUGUGGCUGCGGCCGAUUAGGUAGACGGUGGGGUAACGGCCCACCGUGCCAAUAAUCGGUACGGGUCAUGAGAGUGAGAACCCGGAGACGGAAUCUGAGACAAGAUUCCGGGCCCUACGGGGCGCAGCAGGCGCGAAACCUUUACACUGCACGACAGUGCGAUAAGGGAAUCCCAAGUGCGUAGGCAUAGAGCCUACGCUUUUGUCUACCGUAGGGAGGUAGACGAAUAAGGGCUGGGCAAGACCGGUGCCAGCCGCCGCGGUAAUACCGGCAGCCCGAGUGAUGGCCGAUCUUAUCGGGCCUAAAGCGUCCGUAGCUGGCCGCACAAGUCCAUCGGAAAAUCCACCCGCUCAACGGGUGGGCGUCCGGUGGAAACUGUGUGGCUUGGGACCGGAAGGCGCGACGGGUACGUCCGGGGUAGGAGUGAAAUCCUGUAAUCCUGGACGGACCGCCGAUGGCGAAAGCACGUCGCGAGACUGAUCCGACAGUGAGGGACGAAAGCUAGGGUCUCGACCGAUUAGAUGCCGGGUAGUCCUAGCCGUAACAUGCUGUAGUGUGGCUCCACUACGAGUGGGUGCUGUGCCGUAGGGAAGCCGCU
rnacentral:rRNA from 1 species